GUGCUCACUUUGGCAGCUCAUAUAUUAAAAUUGGAAUGUUACAGAGAAGACAGCAUGGCCUCUGUAUAAAGAUGCAAAAUCGUGAAGCUUUUCUUUUUUAA
rnacentral:snRNA from 1 species